GAACGCACAUUGCGCCCCUUGGUAUUCCAUGGGGCAUGCUUGUUCGAGCGUCAUUUGUACCCUCAAGCUUUGCUUGGUGUUGGGUGUUUGUCCUUUCCCUGCGUCAGGACUCGCCUUAAAUUCAUUGGCAGCCGAUGUAUUGGUUUGAAGCGCAGCACAAUUUGCGAUUCAGGCUGGUGAUCAUGGGCAUCCAGUAAGCACAUUUUUAACACUUUUGACCUCGGAUCAAGUAGGGAUACCCGCUGAACUUAAG
rnacentral:misc_RNA from 1 species